GACCGUUGUCGACGUCUUCUCUAACCCAAUUCAUAAAGCGCACGUUUAUUUGAAUGUAAUAUUAGCUUUGGGUGCUCAUGUUUCCUAUACUGGUCUUCUAUUUCCUUUGAAGUGUGGAUGUCUGCUUUUCUUUGCACAUUACAUUUUGAUAUAAGUCAUGUUCAACUUUUUAAUAGAAUGGUCGAUCCACUCGAAGUAAAUGUCAAUGGAUGCAUUUUUUGGAGUUUCGGACAUGGUGCGGCAACAUUUUUGGGGAUCCCCUGCAACAUAGCAAAUUUGAAGGUUGGAUUUUCACUUUUGAAGUCAAACUUAAUUACUUCUAUUGCUCUUUAUGCAACUUCAAUGCACAAGUUGUUAAGGUUCACCUGACAUGAAUUUGGAUCAAGGGAUAUUUAGUUAUUGAUUCGUUAGAGGAAAAAACAUAAAAAGUUUAAAAAGCAAAGUUUUUAGAUAAAAGGAUGUUAUAUCUAGGCAUAAAUAAUGAAAAUAGCAAUACUCCUAUUAGUUUUCAAUGAGGCUUACUGAUAAAUGUAUGUAGCUAUACCUUGCGACGAGUUCGUGUUCGAGGAGAUCCUUUGGUUCGUCUCCCGAUCCGGAUCGGGUAACAGGAACCGUUUGUUUGACAUUGUGGAUUUUCAGAAAUCCUUCCAUGCAAUUUACAGGAAUAAUGUAGAGAGUUCUGGUGAAUCUCGGCCGUUACUUGGUGGAUCUACUGAAAAAUUAGUGUGUUAAAAGAUUAGAAAAUUUGUCGUCUUGCAAAAGGAGAUGGCGAAAAGAAGGACUUCGAGGACUUAGUCAUCCUGAGUUGUUUUGGUAACGGACGCCAGAUUGUAAAGAGUGUCUGUUAUUCUUUUCUCAAUUUCACAUUAUAUUCUCUUAAAUGUUCAGAAAAAGUUUGUAAUAGCAUGCCGUUAUUUUAGCUGAGGAUAUUCCAAAAUACAUGGAGAGAAUACCUUCAGUGAGCAAGAUGUUUCCACCUAUUUCAAUCAAUUUGGACCAGUCCAAGAUGCUAGGAUUCCUUGUCAACACAAGAGAAUGUUUGGAUUUGUAACCUUUUUUUUUUUUCUCUUUUCCCAGAGACAGUUAAGCAGAUCUUGGCAAAGGGGAAUCCUUAUUUAGUUUGUGGAGCACGUGUUUUGGUGAAACCUUACAAGGAAAAGCCUAAGGAUCGAGAUAGUGGUCAAGGAUUGAAUCUUCCAGAUAGCCCUUUUGCAUCUCCAAUAAGGAAUGGCAUUUCAACUGUCACUUAGGUUUAAAAAUACACAAGGAUUACUGAAGACUGAUUUUUGGAAAAGCAGUUAGUUAGUUCGACACACAAAAGUAUCCUACCUAUUUCCAUAGAAACAGCAAUUAAAAUGGUUGCUCAGUAGAAAGCACAAGAAGUUUAAAUUUCUUUCUUUGUUUUAGGUGGACAUGAUAAGAAAAUGAUAUAGAAAAAGAAUCCCAACAUGUAACAAGUUGAAAUAGGUUUUCUGCUUUGAUCUGAAGUUAAUGAUAUGGAGCAUGCAGGCUUGAGGCUUGCAGGUUUUAGAAUUUAAAAUGUAAUUAUGGUCUCUUUCUAAGUUUGAUGAAGAAGAAAAUAGGAGCAGAUAGAACUCUCUGCUACUAAACCCUCAGGGGUUGGCCUGGUGGCAAUUGACUUGAGCCUUGGGGUGCUCCCUUUCAAGGUCUCAAGUUCGAAACCCGCUGGGUGCAAACAAUUUCUGAGGGCCAUCGGACUGGGGAAACCCUGAAUUACCCGUGGUGCACUUGCGGGAAACUCCUUGCCGAGGGCCUGUGCACCCCCGGGAUUAGUCGGGGCUCAAAGAGACUCGGACACCCGGUGCUUAAUCAAAAAAAAAAAGAACUCUCUGCUACUAAACACCAAUGCAGACUGUUUUAUGGCAUUUAAGUUCUCAAUGUUGUCGCUGGACCUCUUCUCUUGAGCAUUGUUAUUUAUACCAAGUCAUUAAUUCAUUUGUUUUUAUUAUGUACUACAUAAAUACAUGAAAGUCAUCUAACAACUUCGCUGAAUGGGAGACCCAAAUGGGGUAUAGCCGUAAAUCAGUUCAAAGAAACCAUUAGUACUAUGUAAUGUUUAGUACAUAGGAAAAAUUAGUGAAGCGUAUUUCUUAACUGCCUAAAUUUUUUCCUGUCAUUGUCUUUUUAGGAUUUAUGGUGAUGAAAUGUAGUGUACCUCAAAUGAUAACAUAAAAUGCCAGGACCAAACUAAAAAAUGGCAAAGAAAGCAUAGUUUCUAAUAUGUUGCUAUAACUGCUUUUGUAACAUGAAAAUGAUACGUUUCUGAGCAGAAACAAACAUUAGUUGAAUGCAUUAGAGUAGAAGUGAAGAAAUGGCAGAUUUUACAUUGAUGUCGUGCUUUAUGCUUUGAGCUUUGAGCUUUGAGCUUUGAAUUGGUUAACAAAGGAAUAUUACUUGGAGAAUGCCUCAGCUAUGUUAUAUUAGUUUAUAUGUACGAAGAUAACUGAAGGUGACCUUACAUUACUCUUUAAUUCUGUUUUUACUUUCUGGAGGCAGCCAAGAUAAUGUUUUUGAAGCCUGAAAGGUCCUGUUAUUAGCCUUUAAUAAUUUGUGGCCUACUAAAUAAAAAAGUUAAUAAUUUGAUUUCAUUCCCUCUUAGCUAUUGGCUCCUUUUAUUAGACCUGAUUAUUGGCUUGAUUUGGUUUCUUUUUCUAAUGGUUUACUGGCAGCCACGGGUUCUAUCAUUUUCUUUAGUUUAUGUCGGGAAUAAGAAGACACCAACUACUUUUGCUGCUUUGCGUUACCUGUAUUAUUUUAUUUUUUUGGCUUCUUGAUAAAUGUUAUGUAUGAGUUGCUGGAAUCUAGAAAUAUAUUACGAUACAUCUUUACAGACUGUAAAUCUGAAAGGGAAAUUAAGGCUUUUGAUACUAGGGUCACAAGACAAGGACUAAAAAGGAAAGAAACAGAUGAGAUAAAAUCUAAAACUUAGAUGGGGGGAAGUGUCAUUGGCCUUGAGCUACUAUUUGAGUGUCUAGAGGUUCCUUGAAGUGGAUGUAGACAUCAGAAACUUCUGGUGGUCAAGAAGUGCUUUCAACUAUUAGAGUUCGUACGCUUUAGCAAUCACUGAUACUUUUUUGAGCUUUAACUUUGCUGUUUAUCGUUUUAGUUGAAAGGUACAGACUUGAUCAAUAUUUGCUAAAUUCAAGUUUUAAGUAUCAUAGUAUUUUUUGUGAUUGGGUAACACCAGAACACAAUUUAUAAUGGUUCUUGGAACAUGGCUUCUCUAUUAUUAAUCAUAAUAUUGAAUUAUUUCUAAGAAAUUUUAUUUAUUUCAAACUAUUAAUCACUUAACCGACUUCGUUAAAUAUAAGUCCAGAACAAAAAUAAUGAGAAUAGAGGAAGUAUGUAACUUCAUGAGACUGAUACUACAUUUGGCCAGCUUAGGUGUUAGUGCACUAUCAGACAAGGUUCAUAUUUCAGGCAUAAAUUUAUGUAUCUUCUGCAUCAUUUCUUAAUUUCGUGGUAUGAAGUGUCCUACUUGAGCUAAAUUGAUGUUCAGCUUGCUGCACUACCACAGCCGACAUGCUUUAAGGAAGAAUGCAGGAAAAUAGACAAGAAAAUUCUACAAAGAUCGUUGCACAUGUCCUCGACUUUCUAUGUUUAAAUCUACCAAAAUGGACAUCAUGUACUUCUCCGGGAUAACUAUUACCUCAGAAAAUUCAGACCAUCUAAAUUUUUGGCUUCACAAAGUGAAUGUAUUAGUUGUGACUUGUAACUUCGCAUGCUUGGUCUUCCUUUUUCAGAUUGGAUUUACCUGGAAGAUAAGUAUAUCUUGUAUGAAGAUGUUUUGAGAUGGAGGGAGAUGGAUUGUCAUCAAGUUUGUAGCUCUAUUGGAUUUUUAUAAAUAUUAUCAUGGGAAGCCACCUUUUACCAAAUUUGCUAUUGGCAUCUUGCAAUUUGCCGGAUGGUCUUUUGGUCCAAGUGAAAAUGCAGAUGAAGGAAAUUGCUGCUUUCCUGGCCAUGUUGGUAGCAAAACUACUUGUGGUUAUGGAGUCGCCACUGGUGGACCACUGGCUUGGGGUUUGUGCUAUAACAAGGAAAUGAGUCCGAGCCAAGAUUACUGUGAUGAUUACUUCAAAUUAACCUACCCAUGCACUCCUGGAGCUCAAUAUUAUGGUCAUGGUGCCUUUCCUAUCUACUGAUACCUGAAGGAGAAUUGAAUGCAAAUCAGGAGAAGAUCUACAAAGUGAAUAUAUUCAUGAUCAACUUAAAGAGUUUGAGCUGCAUGAUCGUGUUGGAAAUUCAUAUUGUAGAAGUUAGAAUUGUUAGUCCAUUCUCAGCAGGUGAAUCCUGGUACUAUUAAUGUGGCCUUCACAAAACACACUCAAUGUCAAGUCCGAAAAAACAUGGGGAUUGCAAUAGCUUGAUGGGCAGAUCUUGAUAGAUCAAGUGCCUAUGUGCAAGGAUUCAUAUAUGUGCAUGCCCGUCAAUUGCGCUUCAAUACAUAAGGAAGUGGAAGAAAAUUAUGCAAGUGUGAAUCAUACAAUUCAGGUUGAGAUGAAAAAAACUUCAUUUAACAACUGUUUUAUUCUUCGAGUCAAUAAGCAAAAGGAGGACUAGAUUGGAGUGUGUUUUCGCACCUGAUAGUUUGGUACAAAAAUACUUUUACAUUGUUUGGUUAACUCAAGCCUUUGAGGUUGUCUUUGUAAUGUGCAAUGUGGACUGCUAUAGCCACAAAUCAUGGUUCUUUAGGUGUUGUUUUAGUUUGCAGUUGUGCCAAAGUAAUGUUUCAUUCCAACAAUCAUUACUUGGACAAGUGAUGGCAACUUACAAUUAUGUUCUAUUGUGAUGCUAUAUUGUAAGCAAGACAAGGCUAUCCGGGAAUCAAAUAAAAAUUACAUCCUGCAUUUGUAUUUA